AAACCAACAGGGGAUUGCCUCAGUAGCGGCGAGUGAAGCGGCAAGAGCUCAGAUUUGAAAUCGUGCUUUGCGGCACGAGUUGUAGAUUGCAGGUUGGAGUCUGUGUGGAAGGCGGUGUCCAAGUCCCUUGGAACAGGGCGCCCAGGAGGGUGAGAGCCCCGUGGGAUGCCGGCGGAAGCAGUGAGGCCCUUCUGACGAGUCGAGUUGUUUGGGAAUGCAGCUCCAAGCGGGUGGUAAAUUCCAUCUAAGGCUAAAUACUGGCGAGAGACCGAUAGCGAACAAGUACUGUGAAGGAAAGAUGAAAAGCACUUUGAAAAGAGAGUGAAACAGCACGUGAAAUUGUUGAAAGGGAAGGGUAUUGCGCCCGACAUGGGGAUUGCGCACCGCUGCCUCUCGUGGGCGGCGCUCUGGGCUUUCCCUGGGCCAGCAUCGGUUCUUGCUGCAGGAGAAGGGGUUCUGGAACGUGGCUCUUCGGAGUGUUAUAGCCAGGGCCAGAUGCUGCGUGCGGGGACCGAGGACUGCGGC
rnacentral:rRNA from 1 species